rnacentral:rRNA from 1 species
GAUGAACGCUGGCGGCGUGCUUAACACAUGCAAGUCGAACGGGAUCCAUCAGGCUUUGCUUGGUGGUGAGAGUGGCGAACGGGUGAGUAAUGCGUGACCGACCUGCCCCAUACACCGGAAUAGCUCCUGGAAACGGGUGGUAAUGCCGGAUGCUCCGACAUGACGCAUGUCGUGUCGGGAAAGAUUCUAUCGGUAUGGGAUGGGGUCGCGUCCUAUCAGCUUGAUGGCGGGGUAACGGCCCACCAUGGCUUCGACGGGUAGCCGGCCUGAGAGGGCGACCGGCCACAUUGGGACUGAGAUACGGCCCAGACUCCUACGGGAGGCAGCAGUGGGGAAUAUUGCACAAUGGGCGCAAGCCUGAUGCAGCGACGCCGCGUGCGGGAUGACGGCCUUCGGGUUGUAAACCGCUUUUGACUGGGAGCAAGCCCUUCGGGGUGAGUGUAC